AAGCUAGGAUUUGCCUUCAGCAGCUGUCGCCCCAUCCACAGGGCUGAUCUGGCUGGCAUGGCUGUUCUCUUCCCCCCUCCCUUCCUCAUGUGCAUCCCUCCCAAGGCUGCACAGUCUGUGCUUCUGGUGGAAAGGAGGACGUCUCCUGUCUUCAGUCAAGGGUUGAAGGGUAUAUGAAUAGCUACACUCCCCUACUACAACCACCAAACAAAGUUGAAGAGGGAGAAGGAAGAUGAGGAAGAGAAGGAGGAGGAGGAGGAAGAGGAAGAGCAACAGCAGCCAGAAUCAUUCAUCUUCCCUGCCCU
rnacentral:sRNA from 1 species